UCUCUCUGAAUCUGCGUACGGCUCCGCACACCAGUUGUAAACCAAAGCAAGCAAGCCCGGUCUCGACGCCUUUCGGGGCUAGGGGCCGGGCUACAAGGAUAACCCUGGUAAUUCUGAGGCUAAUACUUGACACGAACCUGCUGACUGGGUCUCGGCUCGGGAGGUGGGGGAUGUGCGACUAUCGGGCCAACGAAACCGGAAAGAGCGCACGUUCAGACCACUUAAAAAGGCUCCGGGGUCCCUCGGGAUCUCGGGGCUGUGGCUCUUGCAGCGUGCUUCUGACCUAUCAACUAGACGGCAGCCUAAGGGACAUGCUUUGGUGACAACGGGUACAGAGGAUAAGGGUUCGAUCCUGGAGAGUGGGCCUGAGAGAUU
rnacentral:rRNA from 1 species